rnacentral:rRNA from 1 species
UACGAAGGGUGCUAGCGUUGUUCGGAAUUACUGGGCGUAAAGCGCGCGUAGGCGGCUAUUCAAGUCAGGGGUGAAAUCCUUGGGCUCAACCCAAGAAUUGCCUUUGAAACUGCAUAGCUAGAGUGUCGGAGGGGAUAGCGGAAUUGCUAAUGUAGAGGUGAAAUUCGUAGAUAUUAGCAGGAACACCGGUGGCGAAGGCGGCUAUCUGGACGACAACUGACGCUGAGGCGCGAAAGCGCGGGGAUCAAACAGG